rnacentral:rRNA from 1 species
AUUGAACGCUGGCGGCAGGCCUAACACAUGCAAGUCGAGCGAGCGGCGGACGGGUGAGUAAUGUCUGGGAAACUGCCCGAUGGAGGGGGAUAACUACUGGAAACGGUAGCUAAUACCGCAUACUAUCGGAUGUACCCAUAUGGGAUUAGCUAGUAGGUGGGGUAAAGGCUCACCUAGGCGACGAUCUCUAGCUGGUCUGAGAGGAUGACCAGCCAAACUGGGACUGAGACACGGUCCAGACUCCUACGGGAGGCAGCAGUGGGGAAUAUUGCACAAUGGGCGCAAGCCUGAUGCAGCCAUGCCGCGUGUAUGAAGAAGGCCUUAGGGUUGUAAAGUACUUUCAGCGGGGAGGCGUUACCCGCAGAAGAAGCACCGGCUAACUCCGUGCCAGCCGCCGCGGUAAUAC